AAAGAUAUCAAGGUCUGCAAAUUUAGACGUCGUUGCGAUAUUGGGUGCUUUCCGUGAGAUGAGAAACGGAGGUUAAUGGGGAGAUUGAGAACAGCUUUUCUUGCCGUCUCUCUCGUUUUUCUUGUUUGCGUUUCCGAGGAGAUUAUCUCUCGACGCGGCGCCAACCGCGGCGAGGCUCACGGUGGCGAUGAUGUGGUAAGUUCAUCCUCCUUGCUUCGUUUUCUCGUUUUAGAAACAAAUCAAGAACGCAUGGAGCAAUCUUUUUUUUUUGGCCAAAUACGUAUAUAUGAAGCAAUCUUCAUUUAGGUUUUUAUUUUGUGCAUAUUCAGACAACAUGUUUGUUAUUCCGACCACAAGUUUAUUAUUGACGAACGUGUUAUUUUUCUGAUAGGCAGAACAAACAUGGAUACAUUGUAGAAAAGAAUUGAAAGAUAAGAACAGAGAUUGCCUUAUCUAUAUCCCUCCUCGUGUAGCAGCAGCUAAUGAUACGUACCAGAAACUAUCCGUCUUAACCGGUUGGUUCAGCAACUGGUUUGGACCUCUCCUUGAUUCUACUACAAGCUAUCCAACAAGAAAGCUGAUCGGUAAGCAAAAGAGAAAGAAAAAGAAAAAGAGAAAGAAGUUUAGAGUAUCUGCUCCAAACUUUGCACUUGGUCCUGCACCAGGUUUUGCUCCAGGUCCUUCUCCCCGUUUCGCUCCAGGUCCUGCUCCAACAACUCCUCAGAGUUAUGACCUUGUUGCACCUUCAAGCUCUCCUUCAUAUUCGCCAGCUGAGGCGCCGGAUGAAUCAAGCUUUGGUGGUCCGACUAAGAAGAGAGCAAAGAGUAUUGUUGCUCCUAGUCAAAGUGUUCCAGGUCCUCCUCCUCCUCCACCACCGGAGAAGAAGAAUGAUAUCUUGAUGGAUCUUAUCAUCGCUGUUGCUUCAACCGCUGUGUUAACGUUUUUUCUAGUUGCAUUGCUCUUCUUAUGUUGCUUCAGACGCAACAACCGCAAAAAUGCGGUUGGUCCUAGAAAUGGACCAAGAGAUGAAGGACCACUUCUACAUUUAUCUGAUUUAUCAGCUGGUAAAUGAUGUUUUUUAUUAAAUCAAAACGGUUUCACGUUUUAAUCUUUCAAGAACUAUAACUAACUCUUGUUUUGCUUAUUUUUUUCUUUAGGAUCUAAUGAGAACUCUCCAAAGGUUGCAGCCACGAGUAGGAGAUUCUUCACUGCUACUUCUAAGAAGAGAUCGUUUCUGUCUAGAGUAUCUCUAAAGAGAAACCAUCAUGACUUCCCACCAGCUGAAGCGUCGUCAUCCUCUGGACUUCCUCUUCCUCCUGGAAGAUCAUCAGGAGCUCCUCCUCUUCCUCCUGUGGCUCCACCACCUCCACAGGCUCCACCACCACCUCCUCCUAAAUCUAAACCUCCUCCUCCUGCUCCUCCAAAACUUGUGCGUCCUCCACCUGCACCACCAAAACGUCAAGGACGUAGCUCCUCUGGAGAUGGUUCUGACGUUGAUUCGGAGACCGGAGCUCCGAAAACGAAACUAAAACCGUUUUUCUGGGAUAAAAUGGCUAACCCUGAUCAGAAAAUGGUUUGGCAUGAGAUCAGCGCCGGUUCAUUCCAGUUAAGACUUUAAUUAUAACUUUUAAAACCUUUGUUUCUAGAACUUUGCCUAACUCGCUUUAUGCUUUUUAGGUUCAACGAACAGGAGAUGGAGUCUCUUUUCGGUUACAAUGAUGUGAACAAAAACAAGAAUGGUCAAAGAGGAGAAUCAUCUAGAGACUCUCCUGUUCAAUAUAUACAAAUCAUUGAUCCAAGGAAAGCACAAAACUUAUCUAUUCUUCUCCGAGCUUUGAAUGUAACAAUAGAAGAAGUCGUUGAUGCCAUCAAAGAAGGUAACGAGCUCCCAGUGGAGCUUCUCCAAACAUUGUUGAAGAUGGCUCCAACUUCAGAGGAAGAACUCAAACUUAGACUAUACUCGGGAGAUCUUCAUCUACUUGGCCCUGCGGAGCGAUUCUUGAAAAUUCUUGUUGAUAUACCUUUUGCGUUUAAACGUAUAGAGUCGCUUAUAUUCAUGAUAUCGCUUCAAGAAGAAGUCUCUGGCAUCAAAGAAUCACUCGCAACUCUCGAAGUAAGUCCACAAUUACACAUGACUUGCCUACUAUGUAUUUUAAUUUGAGUAGUGUUUAAAUCUAAAUACAAUUCAAGGCAUUAUUACAUAGAUUUUAGAGUUCACCAACUUUAAAUUAUCUUACAAUUUUAAAAUUUGAUGGAUUGCAAAAUAUUAAUAAUUUAUUUUAAAUCAUUAAUUGAAUAGUAUUCUGUUUUUUUGUUUUUUGUUUUGUUUCAGGUGGCUUGCAAGAAACUUAAAAACAGUAGACUGUUCAUAAAACUACUAGAAGCAGUUCUCAAGACAGGAAACAGAAUGAAUGUCGGAACUUUCCGCGGUGACGCGCAAGCUUUCAAACUCGACACGCUCUUGAAACUCUCUGACGUCAAAGGAACUGAUGGCAAAACUACACUAUUACACUUUGUUGUCCUUGAGAUCAUUCGUUCUGAAGGCGUUCGUGCUCUUCGCCUCCAGAGAUCAAGCAAAAGCUUCUCCAGCGUUAAAACAGACGAUACCAACACAGACACAAGUCCACAGUCUGUUGAACGUUACCGAAGCACUGGACUUCAAGUUGUUUCGGGACUAACCACAGAGCUUGAAGAUGUCAAGAGAGCAGCAAUAAUAGACGCUGAUGGAUUAGCUUCAACACUGAUGAACCUAAGUGGCUCGUUGACCAAUGCGAGGGAGUUUCUGAAGACGAUGGACGAAGAGAGCGAUUUCGAGAAAGCUUUAACUGGGUUCAUAGAACGUGCAGAUGGUGAUAUCAAGUGGUUGAAGGAAGAAGAAGAGAGGAUCAUGGUGUUGGUGAAAAGCUCUGCUGAUUACUUCCAUGGCAAAUCUGCCAAGAACGAAGGGUUGCGUUUGUUUGCUAUAGUGCGUGACUUCUUGAUAAUGUUGGAGAAAGUUUGCAGAGAAGUUAAAGAAACAACGAUGAUGACAUCCAGCAAAAAUCAUUCGAGUAAGAAGGAAACAAAGAUGAUUCCGGAAAGUAAUCAACCGGAUAACAUUCGACGGCAUUUGUUUCCGGCCAUUGCUGAACGGAGAGCUGACAGUUCGGAUGAUUCAGACAGUGACUAGGAUGGAAUAAGCAAAGCAGUUCGUUAUGUUAGUUUUUGUAUUAUGUUGUAUCAUUUCAGUUUCAAGUAAAACACAAACAAAAAAAAGUAACUUACAAUUUGUAUUUAUGUAUAAUUCUGUUUUUGUUUGUGCCCAGCUUUAUAAAAAUAGAUAGAUAGAUGGUAGGAACAAGAACACGAGAGCUUUUGUUACUAAAAGAAGAGAUACAACCUAGUCAAAUGAUUCUCCUCUAUGAAAAUUAUGUGAGCCUAAUCUAACAAGAAUAACAAUGGUAUCCUAACCCAAAGUUAUUGUUAAAUUCUAAAAAUCACAUAUAUGGUAAAAAAGCUAUACAUUAGAAUGAGGGGAAAGCUUGAGAGACUCCUUGCAGUGAAUGAGUAAGAGACUAUUUAUAGUAACUGUGUUGCCUCCCCCUCGCUUUCCUAGAAAAGAGAAAGCUUCUGAAUAAUAGAGGUUUCCUUUCCUUUUUUACCUAACUAUCCCAUGUCGCUUGAAAGACAUGCCUUCUGUUUUUGAGCCACUGCAAUAAUUCUCUAUCUAGUGACGAGUUGUUGACUACAGCAUCGAACAUCGGGCUUCCUAAUACUCCCAAGGUGCUUUUGAACAUCCAUAUUUUGUCCUUUGCCCAUGGCUUUUGAGGUUGCUUUGACUGUACAAAAAUAAGAUAAAAAUUUUAAAAGAUCACUAUCAUGGACAAUGGUGACAAAUGAAUAGCAUUUCGGAAGUGGGUCAAGUAUGAAGAGAUUACCAUCUGUGAAACCAUUGUUUUCACCGUCUUUGGGCCAUAAACACGAUGCUUUGAUGGCUUAUGAGCCUUUGCGUAGAAGGAAGCAACUUCGGGUAAAGAGAGGCAACCUCUGGUUGCUUUCACCAAUGUAAGAUCAGGAUCAGUAUUUGUCUGUUCAUACCAGUAAAUCAGCUGGCCGAGACAAUAGUUCUCGCCAUAUGUUUUCCGGUACUCCUUUAUACCCUCGCCUAACUUGUCCGCAUAUUUGGCCCCCAAAUCUAACGGGCUAAUUUGUACAGGAGAAGACAUAAAUGACUUGUAUUCCUGCCGACCAUAUCAAGACCCAUCUGUCAGUAGAAGUUUAACAAGACUUUGUCUUCUUUUAUCAUCCAAAUCAUACGAAAUAACUUACCCGAACUUUGAAAAAGCACUUUGUAUAGGCAUAUAUGUGAAUCAAAUCAGCUGCAGCAUCAUUCCGACACUUGUAUGUACAAGGUAGAUCUCGGACCUCAUCUCUCAACCUUCAUGGAAGAAAAUAUUCUUUGAUGUAAGUGUACAGUUUCCUAAAAGUACAAUGUUUCAUGCAUAUUGAUGCACUAACCAAAGUAAUGAUCUUUGAAGAUCCUUAAGGACGUCUGCAGAUCCAGAUGGAUCAUGGGCACGAAUCUUGGAUCUGAGUUCAUCAACAAUGCCCUCUUCCACGUGUGGCGAAAGGCACUGAAGGAUCUCCUCAACUAAGGAGCCAUCCCCGUUCCACAAAAAAGAGACUGUUUCUUCAGGAGUAAGCUUCUCCAGCGGAGGAGGAGCGUUCUUUGGAUCCCCAAACACACGUCUCAUAACAUAUCUUACCUGUGUUAUAACACUAAUUAGAGAAACUUCGAUUGGGAAAAAAUAUUUUACAAGCAAUUGCACAAAAAAUUUGAAACGCAACGCAGAUAACACGAUGUUUGGUUAUAUGAUAUGAAGAGAGAUUGCAGUCACCUUGUCAAGUGUGACAGCCAAAUUCUGAAGCCUCUGGUUGUAGACACCCUCAGCCUGUAUCAUCAAAGUUACAGAUAUAAUAAAGCAUAUAAAAGCUGGAGAAAAAAAUCAAAACCCAGCACAGAGUUCCAAAGCACAAAAGACAUGAACUAUUGAAAGAACCCGCAGAAAGGUAAAAAGGAAUGAUGUUCUGACCUGAACCUCAGCAUCACUUUUCUCAACAUCAAGGUGUAUGUCUGAAAAAUAUUUUCUCUUUUCUUCCAUAUUAUGCUUAAGAAUUUCCUCUGGAAGCUUAGUUCUCUCGAAAUUGAUGAACCGCACCUUUAUGCAGAAGAAACUUUCUGUCAGAAGCUGCACUCCCAUCAAUAGUGCUGCUAUAAACUAACAUAAAAUGAUUCAAGACUAACCAGAUGAGCAGAAUACGCAAUCACCCAAUCUGGCAGCCCACCAAGCAUACAACUUCCCAGUCCAGCUCUUCCCAACUCAAGAUAAUCUUCUUCUGAAACUGAAUUCAGUAUACAAGCUUCUAGCAUCAGUCUAUGUCGAUCCAGCAGACCAUGCCAUUCCUUCAACACCUGUUAUAUACAUGGUUCAGAAAAUUAUAUAGACAAUCAAAGGACAAAAGAAAUGCUUUUUAAACUUCGGUACAAAGACACUAAUUACUCAUUAGUGAACAAGCACACCAACCUCUGUCAUUAACCUUGCGUAUCUUAAUACCAGUUAAUAAUCAUAUAUAUGUUAACAUCACAAUUACCUUCUGAAAUGCACCUUCACCAGUGAGAUUCAAGUAGCUGCCUCGGCAUACUUGGCUACCACACAAGCAGACAGAAGCUUCAUAUUCUUCCUUACUCUGUUGCAGACAUAAAUAUCAUUCUUUUAACAGUAGAAUGGGAACAUAAAGAUUAAGAAGAGAGAGGGAAGAACAGACCUCAGUUACAGAAUUAUAAUCAAAAGUUAUCUCCUCGCCGUAUUCAAUCGGACGUACUGAAUAGAUGCCAAUCUGGUAGUGUCCAUCCACCGCAGUAACCCUGGAAGCACCAGUUGGCAAAGACGGAAAAUGAGUAACCCGUUUAAACUUGUUAUUAGGUAGGAAGACACUCAAGUAUCAAGAGUUCUCCCCUCCAUUUUUUAUUUUUUAAAGCAUGGACGCAUAGGUAAAAGGACGAGUAUUGCCUAAUAUGCCUACGAGUAGAGCAGAUAUCAUAAGCAAAUGUUGGUAAGUGUAUCCACAAAAUUUUAUAUCUAAGAAAUUUAUCUGUGUAUGUAUUGAUCUGAGCUUACUUAAGCAGGCUAGUUUAUGCAUGCAACAUGAAUGAAACUAAAUUAUUACAAUGGUCACGUGGUUCUACUCUCUAAACAAAAUUCUGGAAAAUUGGAUGAUUGCGGAAUUUAACUUACUUAGCUUCACAGUUAGGUCGGCAAGAAUGACAAAUUCGACUCGCAUAAUUAGCCUUGUGCAUGGCAUCAACAACAACUAAAUCAUAUCCAUCAGCGUCACCCUGCCAGUAACAUAACAACAUAAAAAAUAAGAAAAUGGUCUAAUAUAAUAUAUACAAGCCCAAUCAUCAUAUUUUCUUCAUACCUUCGGUCUCUCAAGAUAGAUAUUGUAAAACUCUGGUGCAGGAUCAGUUUUGUUUUCCUGCAAGGAACGAAUUCCAUCUUGCUUCUCAAACCACUUCCAAACAGGAUAAACCUACAAUAUCCAAAACAUACGUUCAGAGCUCCCUUCAGAGAAUGUUUCAUAUCCAAGAACAGCACGCCCAGUGAAUUUCAGAAAUUGUGCAGCUGACUAACUACCAAACAUAAAACUGCAAAGCUGCAAACCCACCUCUCCAAGAAAUUCAACAACAAAAUCGUCUUCCACAAAACCACCUUGUUUGUUGCAAACAACACCGAGGCCCUACAAAGGCAAAAAAGUAGCAACAAGAUAGAUUAACAAAAACAGUCCUAAAUAAAUUGAUGGAUUUCUAUGAAAGAAUGACAGAGCUCUAUACCUUCCGAUAAGACACAUAAUUAUCACCAGAACGACUUUCUAUAGCCUUUAAGACGCCUUGACACAUUUUCAUUGUUUGUAUAUCACACUCUUCACGAGCAUUCUCUUUGAGCUCUUCAAUCACAGGUCUUAAAGGGAAUACCAUGGGGGUGUUUCCAGAUCCAGUGAGAAACCUGACUUUCCUGUUCAGGGCACGUAAGACUACAUCUUCUAUAAAUGAAUGUUUAUCCUGCAGUGACCAGUCCAAUUCUCCGGGCAUUGAAUCAAGUAAGAGGUUAUGGGUGUAAGGAUCGAUUCCAUAAACCUCUUGCUCUAAAACCUCGUUGCCAAGAAGCUUUCUUGGUUUAUACUCCUUGACUUCAGGAAGCUCCAUAUCUAACUCUUCAAUGCCAUUUCGUUGUGCAUUCAGCUUCUCAUCAUAGUCCUCUGGCAAAGAAACCCGCAUCUUUCGUUGUACCUCCUCCUCGUCAGCGACAAUCGUGUACUCUUCAAUCAGUUCAUAUUUCCUUGUGACUGGUGGCACAAGACUAGCUUUGGUCAUACGUGCACCCCAUUCACGCUCUUCGGUCACAGAAUCAAAGGAUUCGUCUGCUGUAAAAUAUUUUUCAACACGUGAGUCCUGUGAUCGACCUUCUGAACGGAUAUCCGAUUCGCUUUCUGAAGCUGAGCUGUAAUUGUCAUUGUCAGAUAGCGCGGAAGAUGUUUCACUUCCCGAACCAAAUGAUUUACGAUUCAGUUUAGACAAACGCCUUUUGAUUUCGCGGUCAGAUGCAUAUUCUCCGUAGUCCAGCGCACCAUUUACACCAAAUGUGUCACUCGUCCUGCUCAUGUACUUCUUUUCAGUUACAGAUUUGCUCAACUUCUUGUUGUACUUAGAGGCUGAUGACAACCCUGAGCCAUCUUGCCACGACUUCAUCAAUUCAUCUCUUCUAUAUGAAGAAGUAGCCAUAGAGACCUCUUCUAAACGUGUGGCAAGUUGGAUAAACAGUAUGAUGAUUCGGUUCAUCUCUUUGGAGUCUCCCCGAUUCCUCUCUCUGGAUAUAAGAUAGAAUCAGAAGAAAUUUUACAAAACUAGUAUUAAGGAAAGCAAUAAAAACAGCUCCUACCUUUACUUAAGAACUAGGAGUCUAGGAAUAAAUGUCAAAAACAAGUAAUCCUACAUCCUAACAAACUGAGGGCCAAAAACCAAGCACAUGGGAAGAAAGCGGUUAUUGACUUGAGAAAUUAUAACCUAUAAUCCAGAAAGGACAUCAGCAGUCGUUCAACAUAUUGUUUGGCAAGUAGAAUCUUCAUAGUUACUUAUUUAUAAUUUGCAAGUCAAUAUUUGAAGUAUUAUUGGCAUAAUCAUGUACUAAAGAAGCUACCCAAAGAAAGAGGAAGGGAGCCUUACUUAAUUGCUUCCCUGCACAUCCGGCUGAUAUCCUCCUUGACAGAUUUCAAACCAUGACUAACGUAGUAACCGUUUUUCAUUUUUUCCUCUAUAUGAGCAACCUAGUAACCAAAGACACAUUAGGAUUAACUUUAACAAAUGGUAAAGAAAUAAGAGCAGACAUAAUAUACAGCAUACACGAAUACCAGAAAGCACCUUUAAAUCAAAGAAGUCAAAAGUAUUCUGCUUCAUGAUGCCCCUAAGGCUUGAAGAAAGGAAUUCCUCCACUCUCUUAUACCCGUGUUCUGACUUCUUAAUCGCCCAUCGCCUGAUACGAGCAUCCCUGGAUAGAAUUGCCGAUGAUUUCCGUGCAUCAUACAAUUUUGAGCGUUUGUAUAAGCUUCUUCGGAAUAACUGAUUGGCUGAGUCUCGCUUUUCCACUCGAUCAAAGUAAUCCUUAAGGUUACCAAAAUCAUCUGUAUCUCCUCCUAAUUCCAUAGACUUAUUAACAUUAGUCUGUUUCAAACUCCUUGACCUGGAAUGCAAGUCACCUGGUCCAGGAUGCUGGCAUUUGAGCCAACUUACUUUUCUAUAUUUCAAAGUCAAAUUUCCAAACUGGGAGCAGCCUGUGAUGUCUAUAGAAGAUAUAUGGGGAAAUAAACGAAGAAUUUCCUCAAGCAUGCUGGAAGUCACGUUUGUACAACCAACCAGAAUAAUAGAAUCAAUCUUCUCCGUGUUGUAAGUGUUCUGCAAGAGAAUGUCAUAUCAGAUCAAUUAAAAUACUAAAUUUUCUAAAAUACUGUAAACGAAAAGUACAGAGUGCUCACCAUGAUACUCCAGAGCCUAGAAUCUGUGCAGUUGGGACCCAAAGAAGAUAAGUCAACUUGUCUUGAAAUAUCCUUGUAUGAACUAACAAUGGCCUUCCAGUGUCUACAAGUCAUGGACGCAAAUGCAAGUGAUUUUACAUCAUAUCUCAGCAAAUGAAACACCCGUGCUAACACGUGACCAUCUAACAAAUCCCAGUACAUCCCCACGCUGCCAGAAGAUCCACUUCCUUCAACAUGGAAAGUAGCGUCCCCACAUAAAUCCUCAAAUGUCGACUCAUCCUUCUGAAAUAUUUGUGCAUCUUUCACUUCAGAAUGGUCUCCACUUUCACCAGCCAUCAAUCGAACUCUUUUCGUAUAUGAUGAUGAAUCAAAUUCUGAGGUUUAUGAACCAAAAACAAAAGAGAGAAGAGAACAAAUGUUUAAACAUACGAAAGCAGGAACUGCACAGUGUUAUAACCAGAAGAGAAUGAAGAAACAAAGGAAAUAGCCACCCAAGUUCAGAAACCGAUAAUAACUUGAAGAAAAGCAUGAGCUAAUAAGACGGAUGGGGUGGCAUUUAAGUUCUGGUAGUUAUGCAUACCUGAAUAUGGGUGCAUGUACUUGCCAGUCUCUUUCUUUGGCUGUCUUGCAUGAAUCCAAGAGUCUAAGACAUCGUUUAUGGCAGCAGAAAAUUCCCGAGUCUUGUAUGUUUUCAUAACCAAUUGAUGGAGUUUCCCACGGAAAUAACCAAGAAACUGAGGAUGCAUAGCAUGGAACGAGCUUAGACUUGUGUCCAUUUCAGAAUGCUUGAAAUCCUGCGACUCUGAGACAUCAAGGCUUUGACAAUCUGAAGGCAGAACUGGGGCUUUCCCCUUGCCACUGAUUUCAGAAGUUUUUGUGAUAGAAGUAACAGGUACCCAAAUUUUGUCAGAUUUCCUGAAGACACUAGUGUGGCGCUUUAUUAAACCUUUAGCAACCAAUAUCUGGAGCUCCGAAAAUGGCAAAGGUCCUUGUUCUUGCCCAGAACCAUCCAUGUAGAACCAAUCACCCAAAUGCAAUUGCAAAUCAUCGACUGUAAACAGACGAUCCCCAGGGGUGCUAACAGAUGCGUCAGUUCUCCAAAAUCCCUGCAUAUCUUGACUACCGCAAGCUGAUGACUGAGAAAUACUUUCGACGGAUUCCCUCUUGGAAUCACUAGAUGCAGGGGAUGGACGAGCAUGCCUUGAAGAGAACUUUUCCCCACCACGAACUUUUACAAGGGGAUCAGGAACUGAUGGAACUUGAUCAUUAACGACUAAUGAGUUAAGCCUAACUACAGACAGCACACUAGCUUUUACUCCCCUCGCCUGAUUUCUCUCAUCUACACCAGAAAAAGCCCACAGGGGAAGUUCCAGCCUAGAGCGGCUGCGAGGAUUAUACAAAUCAUCCUUGUGAUGCCAGCGAGGAUCCUCAUACCCAGACUUCUGCAUCAGGCAUAAUGGGAAACCAUCAUUCAGAACCAUUUUCUUUUUGUAAUCUCUAUCUUGAAAAGCUUCAUCGUGUCUUAUCCAGUCCCCGCCUGUGCAAGACCAACGACCUGAAAACCAGCUGCCUAUCUCAUCGCUCUCAGAACAAUCAACAUUUUCUGACUUCGAUUCUUCGAUGGCCAUUGCCUUGGGCUCUGAACGUUCCCACGACUCCUCAUUUAAUAGCAACUGAUUUACCACUUGAUAGUAGCACCAGAUGAUAUCUGCAAAUGCCAGAGUAGAACUUCUAAAUAGUGUCAUGCAAAACAUGUGGAUAAAUUUUUAAAAAAAAAAACAUGUGAAUAAACAAGAAGCUAUGAUUACUAAAAGUUGAUGUCGUCUAAAUGAAUAUCCAUGUUCAUGCACAAACCAUCAUAUGGCAGUAGACGGCCAUUACGUCUUUAACACACAUCAACACUUCCAAAUACUACAAACGAACUAAUAUAAAUAUAGAUGACUAUAUAAUAUCUUAAGUGAAUAUAAACGCUUGUAUCGUUACGUUUUCUGAUAGUAGAAGUAGGCCAAGUUAGGAAUAUAACUUGCCUGAAAGGAGGAGAAGCAAAUAGAGAAAAAAAUCAUAUCAUGCUAUAGAAAAAGUGCAAGUGGUGCCAACGAAACAUACCUUCAGAACUCACAAACCUUCUCGUCUCUUCAAGCUCAACUUUAAUCUGCACAGCUUCUGCAAAGCGAUAAAAAUAAGCCUAUCUUAGGUAUGGCAUAGAAGCCCCAUGGUGCAAUAAACUAAAUGUAUUAAGAAAAAUGCUUCAGAUAUUUGCUAGCAUUUUUGGCUGAAAACAUCAAAUUUCUGGCCGGAAAGAUAAUAUUUUACAUCUACUACAGUACCUCCAAGUGUUUCAAGUUCCCUGCCAGGGAUGAUAGUAUAGCCAUCCAAGAGACUCGCGAUCCUGUUAUCAAACUGGAAAUCUUCAUGAUGGCCCACUACAGUAUCAUUACUAUCUGGUAUGGACAAUGAUUCAGGCAAGGAAUCUUCAGCUCCUUGCUCCAUAUGAACUGCUUUGACAGCAUCUGCAAUAUCUUCUAAUAAAUUACCAGGCGCUUCAGGAGGAUUCACGAGCCGUGUCACAGCAUCUGACACGAUUGAUGGAAUAUUUAUGUUGACCACAGGAGAUGUUGCAUUUUCAAUAGUGACCCACCUAUUAUUAUCUGAAUGUUUAAUCAUAUGGUCAGAGAAAAGAAUGCCUUGCUCCACAAGAGCUUUAAGCUCGGAUAACUUUGCAGGCCCAUGUUCAGUGCCAUAGUAAUCAAGAUAAAACCACUCCCCCAAGGAUGAAUCUGCCGCCAUAGGCUCCUCGUGAGGUGGUGUAUCACAAAUGUCCAUAUCUACCUCCAUCGAUGGCAACUCUUCGGUAGUUGCUUCACCAACUAGCACAGACUCUUUUCCCUUUGCACACGCACUUGGAAUCUUGGAAGAAUCACAUACAGAAUUUUUCUCAGCCACCGGAUUAUUGUUAUUCAAAAUGUUUUUACCUUGCAAUUCUUUUCUUGAUGGAGACGACUCUUUUCCAUUAGAAUCCCUAUGCCUUUGCUUAUUCUCAAGCUCCAUACCAGUCUGAGAAUCCCUCCUCUCCCUAACUCCACUCUUUCUGCUUAUAUCUCUAUGGCCAUUACGUCUGGUACGAUCGCUCUGGGGAUCUUCCAUAUAUUUAGAAGUUCCGUCGCGGCGAUCACCGGACCAUUCAGAGUAACUUGGACUUCUUCUAUAAUCAUGGUGAUGGCUGCGGUCAUGUGGAGACCUUUUACGAGCAUGUGAAGGCUUCUCAAAGAUAUAUGGCGAUCUCUCCCGGGCAUAUGGCGACCUUUCCCGAUUGUGGGAACUUCUAUCCCUGUGGCCAUGGUACCUAGACCGGUCAUGUGGGGACAGAUCAGAUCGUGCAGGGCUGUGUCCAUGUCUGUCUGAAACAGCCCUGGCAGGGAAAUAUGAGUCUUGAUGCUUUUUAGGAUACUUUUCCAGAGAUGAGUGUUUUGAUGAAUAGGAAUCUCUGUAGUCUCUCUCAACAGAGUUCCGUGAAUAGUGGUCUGGGUGAAGAGAGCGGGAACAAUCAUCAGAAAGUUUUCUAUAUUUGGAGCUCCCAUAGUCCCCAUUAUCCGCAUAAAGAUGUUUGCGCUCAAAACUAUCCGGUUCAGCUCCAUGUCGCUUCAGUUUGUUCACAGUAGAAGAGUACUCUUUCCCAAGAUUAUUGGGAUCGUUGUAUUCGUUCUUAUGUAAGCUUUCCUCUAUUACAAUUUUAGAACUGACUCUCGUAGCUCUGUCAUUCCCACUUCUGAACUCUCUCCGGCGAUAGGUAUCCUCAUUCAAAAACCUCCCGCCGGGCGGGGUGCGUUCAUGUUCAUAGUCAUAAUCAUAUUUCCACGUUUUCUCUCUGUCAACUCCAUUCCUACGAGAUCUGUUGUAAGUAUGAUCAUCCUUUACCGUAUCCAUCUUAUGCCAUCUGUCUGGAAUGAACUCCCCCUUCUCAAUUUCAUUACCGGGAUCUCUCCAUGAUCUGAUUUCUCUCUCUUCUUUCCUGUACUUAUCUGCGGGUAAAUCCCUUCUCUCCACAUAAGAUUUAUCAUAUUGCAGGUUACUGCAAUCCCCAGAAAUCUCCCCUUUUUCAAUCUCAUUAUUCCGCAGUGACUUCACUGGAGAAAUCUCACCGGUCUCCAAAUCCCCAUGAGAAUUUAAUGUACCUAAUUCACCCUCUUCCACUUCAUCCUUAAACCCAGAAUCUCCACCGUUUUCUUCUUUAUUGCUACUUUCUCCUCCUUUUCCUUGCAAAAGUUCACUCUUUUUAUCCUGCUCUUUCUUCAGGACCUGUGAUUCUCCAGAAAGUUGCACUACCUGAUCUUUCGGCUGCUCUUCUGCUUGUUUCUGAGGCUGCUUGGGCUUCCUCCUGACAACUUUACGAAUAACCUUAACAAUUUUCUUCUUCUUAGGUGGCUGAGACGCUGAGGGUUUAGCUGGCUGGGACUCCGGAAGCUUAUCACUAGUUGAGAUUGAAGUGUGACCAUUCUCGGGAACCUUGGUAUCAAUGUUGCCUCCACAAAGCGUCUUCUCUGGAAGCUUGUCCAUGAUAUUCAGUAGAGGCAUGCAUGUGGCGACACCCCCAUCGCUCAUGGAAACAAAGCUUUUCUCAAGUCCCGGGGAUAUCAAUACUCAUGCUUCAGAACAUCCACCGCCAAAUUCAAGAACCUGUACACACCCAAGAAGCAAUCAGUGGCGAAAACUGAAUGUAGGGUUCUGCCCAGAGCGAGAAUCUGGAAACCCUACGGAGCCAAAUUGAUGAAAUUAGAGGAGACGAUGAGACGGGAAGACAGCGAAUUGAAGCGGGGAUUAUACCGGGGAGGGUAAGGAAACGUAGCGAAGGGGAUCAAAAAAACCCUAGAAUAGAGCUGGGAGGAAGACGAAGGAACGUGAGAAGGAUGAGAAAUUUCUGGAGAAUAAGAGAUCGAGGUCAAAGAAGACGAAUCGAGAAGGAAACCCUAGAAAGCUCUCGCUAAAUCUUAAUCUGGUUGUUCCCGUUUCGCCGGAAAAUCACCGUUGCGGCGUGUGUUCUUUCUCUCUCUGCGACCUGCGCUUCUCUUCUGAAUCGUUGUGUUCUCUCUCUCUCUCUCUCUCCGUUAUGUUUUCCUGAAAGAAGAAGCCGUCGUGUUAAUAUUUUAUUUUCUGUGUAUUUAUUUAUUUAUUUAUUUUUAUUUUUUAUAUCACCGUUUUCACCUUGACUAAUUUAGUUAUGAAAUUGCUAAUAGUACGAUUUAAUUUAUUGGUCAAAAGUAUAUUAGUAUGCAAUGGUAAAAAUGGUAAUUAAGAAUAGCUGUGAAUUGUAUUUGUAAAAAAUAGGUCCAAACACAUUUUGAAUGAUGUUUUCAUUGUAGUACAACGAGUGAAGUUUUCGUUAAUUUUGUUCUUAUAUAAAUAUUUGUUUUGAAAAAUAAUAAUUUCAUUAUAUGAACUUAACUUAUUAUUGAAUAUAUUAUAUUAUUAUAUAAUGUGCAAUAAGUUAAUAAUCUACUAAAAUAUUAAAUAUAUUUUUUCAACUGUAUGGUUGAUAAAAUCACAAGUUAUUUUCUCAUUCUAAUUCCUUUUAAUACAUUUCUCAAAAUGUUUUACUUAUCAUAUUUCUUCCUCAUAUUUUUUUCUAGUUUUCUUUCAUUGGGUUUUAUAGAAAAAUUCAACAGUAAAAAAUAGAAAAUAAUAUUAAAAUGAUAAUUAAAAGACAAAAUAAUGAAAAUACUUUGAAUAGUAACACUUAUUAAAACACUUCUCAAGAGUUUUUAUCUUUGUCAUUUUUUUUUUGUCACUAAUAUCUUUGUCAUUUAAAUAUGACAAAACAUGUGACUUUUUAGUAUAUUUGUAUAGUAGGCAUGUGAUUUUAUUAGCUUUUGCAUAUUUUAUAUGUGUUAAAAAAAAAAAUUUUUGAUCCAACAUAUUUUUACUGAAAACGAAAAUAUUUUCUUUUUUUCUAAACUGAGAUAAUUAUUUCUAUACUCAUCUUGUUCAUAAAAUUAUUAGUUUAAAACUAAUCUCUUUUUCUUAUUAACUUGAAAAAUAAAAUGAUAAUAUCAGUAACUGAUGAAAAUAAAAUUCCACAUAAUUUAUUUAACAAAGCUAAAAUAAUAUUUAAUGAGAAGCUUUCUGCAAUUAGUAACAAUAAUUUAUUCUGAUCAAAUCUACUAUAUUUAUAUGUCCUUUUAGCAUUCAAAAUUGGAUAAAAAUAUCAGAUCUACCAAAAUUUUAUAUCUUUACAUAUAUCACACUCUCGGGUCCGGAUCUGAAAAUAACAAUCAUACCAAAAACAAAAAUUGUGAAAAUGUUUACAUAUCAAAUUACUUGUUCAUACAUUAUUUACACGUUUUUACAGUUAAUUAACUUUUUCACAUGCGACAAAAUGGCAUAUUGUCAUUUACUCGUAAGACUAGCCCAAAAGUAAGGCGGCCACUUCCAACAUUUUUAGCAAUGAAAAUCCAUUUGGCGCUCAAACCAAACGCUAUGAGCGGUAAGAUUCUCACCGUUAAUAAACGGACAUCUUGACCCAAGACUUUUUUAUUAAACAACGUGGUGCGAAGCUUUGAAGAGAUUCUGAUUUGAUGAGCCAUUAAACACUUGGAACAACCCGUUACUUAUAAUGUGGGCUUUGUAAUGGGGGUCCAUUGGUGAUUGAUUACUCCUACAUUCUCUUAUUGAAGAACUUCUAAAACUUUAUUCCAAAAGCAGAGCAAAAUAAAAGCUUUGACAAAAAGUAACGACCACUCUAGGCUUUCUUAUCACAUCACAAAUAAAAAAUGCAUUUUAUCAUGAUGAAACUGAUUCACGGGAGAAAAAACAACACAAGAAUGCAAAAAUAAAAAGGUCCAGAUUCUAUUCAUGACAGCAUAUAAAUAAACAGAUGGCAUAAAGGUCGUCAAUAUCAUGACAUAACAAGAGUAUUAAUUGAUUCUGAGAUGAUAAUCAUGAUAUCUUCAAAUCCAAGGGAAAAGAAACCAAAUGGUGAACUACAACACUUUGUGGGCAGUUUUCGAGCUUAGGAAGUUUCCCCAGCUCGUUGUGUCACGCCAUUCACUAAAAGCUUAGUAAAGGACUCUGGCGGGUGGACUUGUACUCUCAUUCCCUGAUGUAGUCAGAAAUACCUCAAGCUCUAGCUUCUCAAAUGUCAAGCUUGUACUGUCCAUGGUCUAUACAUGUUUUGUUGUGUUAUUAACAUCUAAUUUUUUUUUUGAAUUAUAAAGAAGUAUCCUGCCUUCGGAAACUAGCUAAAGCCGCAUGUUAACAGUCUACGUUUUCGGCCCACGUGUCGGUCUCAUGUCCAUAGUGAUACCAAAAUUUUAAUUUUCCAAUGGCCUGGACUCGAACCCUAGUGGUUUCACUGUAUUGGGUUUCGCCCUCAGGUUAAUCUAGGCCCGGGCAUUUUACCCGGACCCGAAGACCCGACCCGAAACCGAUCCGAAAAAAUCCGGUCCGGGUAGGAACCGACCCGAUCAAAUUACCCUAUCGGGUCUUGUUGCAGAGGACCCGCGGGUCUUGGACCCGAUCCGACCCAAACGCGAAACCCGAUGGGUACCCGAAUUAAUAAUGUAAAUUAAAUAAAAUGCAUCAAGGGAGAAUCGAAGACGGGUUAUUUGUCAAGAGAACAUGGGGGUCAACCACUAGGAGACAACAAAUUGUUAUUGUAUCUCGCAUAGUUUAGUAUAUAUACACAUUUUAAUAUAAUAAAAACACAAAUUUUGAAUAAAAUUUUGAAUAUUUUAGGAUAUAUAAAUAUUUUCAGAUAUUUUUUUGUAUUUUUAGGUCUUUUUUAGAUCAAACCCGAAUCGAACCCGACCCGAAACCGAACCGUAUCCGAACCGAUAAAUUCUAAUUACCCGAAUGGGUCUAACUAUCUAAGACCCGACCCGACCCGGACCCGGCACGAUCCGAACCGAUCCGGAACCGAGAAUUUGAAAUUACCCUAUCGGAUCCUAAACUCUUAGACCCGAAAGACCCGGACCCGAAAGGACCCGAUCCGAACCCGACCCGGCGACCCGAAUGCCCAGGCCUAGGUUAAUCACCAUUGAACCACAUGCCCCUGUUUAUUAACGUCUAAUUAUGUCUAUUGUCCACUGUUUUCAUGGAUGUCUAAAACACCAUGUUCAAAAAAUAAAAAUAACACUUUUAAUAUAAUAUAAAACAAUAAAAAUAAGACACUUUUUAAUGUGGUGAUCAACAUAUACAUAAACGUUUCGAUCUUUUCUUAGGAGACCCGAGACCGUAAGGUAAGUAAGUAGAAACGUCGAUGGCUGUAUAUAUAUGUUGAUCACCACAUUCUCUGCGACACGAACACUUAGUAACUUGUACGUCUGGAAUCUUAAAAGAAGCCCAAAGGACCAUAAUGUUUUUGUUGUUUUCUACAUAUGAAUGAUUAUAUGAAUGCACUUAUGUAUCAAUAUAUAUGCCUGUUUGACUGACGUAGUAUGGGUGAAGGACACAACACAUGUACACAUUGAGUAAUGACCAUUGCGUAGUGUUUGUCCUUUUAACAAAAUUUAGAUACUUUUUCGCAAGAGGAGCGUAAGGCAGAAUGAAAUGAGAGAAAUAUUUUAUUAAUCAAAUUAAGAAUAUUUUUUAAUAGCAAUAUUAUCAUAUUCAUUGACAAAAAAAUAUUAUAAUAUUUAAGACAACCUUACUUUAUAUAUCUCCCUAAUAUUUACACCACACAAAAAUAAAAUCUAACUCAAACCCAACAGACGGUCGAGUCCUCAAUGCAAGAGUUAUCGAGUAUAGUUUGGGAACAAACAAUACUUAGAUUCACCUCUAUGGUACUAUCAAUUUUCACCUCACCAUUGAUCACCAAUCAAAGUGCUAUAUACAAAUAAUAAAAAAUAUUAAUUUUUCCAAAAAAGUAAAAUAGCUUCGUUAACAUUAACACCAUCAGCAAAACAUUUAACUCUAAACCUUAAAUACUAAAUUUAAAAUAUAAACCCUAAACCUAAAACCUAAGCCUUAUAAACCCUAAACUUUAACGAAAUGAGUUAGCGCCGCCGACGUUAGAGUUUAGGUUUACAGUUUAGAAUUCAGUGUUUAGAAUUUUGUUAACGAUCGACGUUAAUGUCAGCAUUUUUUUAAUUAAUUCUACAUGGUACUUUGAUUGGUGAUAAGAGAUGAGAUAAAUUUGACAGUUUAUUACAAGGGUGAACCCAACCCUAACCAUCAGUUUCGAGAAAUUUUUCCAUUUUGAUUUCAGACGAAGUUAUAUUUUCCCUUAACAAACGUGUGUGUGUGUGUGUGUUUUUGUUGGAAAAAUAAAAAAGUAGCAUCUAAUCUAUUAAUUUAGGGUCCUAAUUUUUAUCUACUAUUUAAAAGUCUUAGCAUGACCAUUUGAUUAAUUAUUUAAUAUGACAUAAUAAUUAUUCCUAGUCUAACAAAUCUGUUGAAAAAAUAUAUAUUUAAAUUUUAUUUUUAAUUAUAACAAAUUUGAUGAGAAAAUAUCUACCCAAAUCUUAUUAAAAGUUUUAAGUAUUUUUUAAAAUCAUACAAUAAUUAAUUUUGUAAUUAGUAAUAUAAUAUGAUUAUACAUUACUAUUAAUUAUUUUUUUAUUAUAAAACAAAAAAAUAAAAUUAUUUCCUAUUUUUAUAAAUUUUAUAAUGUAUUAUAUAAAAUAGAAGUACUAUAUGAAUAAAUAAAUAAAACUAUAUAAAAUUGGUAAAUUAAACUAUUUUAUUUUAAAAUUCUUUCAUUUAAAUAAAUAAAAUAAACUAUCAUUUCUUUCAUUUAAAUAAAUAAAAUAAACUAUUAUUCACCGUUAAAAAGGGUUAAAAUUCAUAAAGUAUGUAUAUUUUAUACAAAGAAUAUUAUCAUAUGUUAAACUUUUAUAUCUACAACUAUAUAUUAUUUAAUUAAUUUGAAACUCACAACAAUAUAUUAUCUAAAAUGAUUAUAUACAAAAUAUAAUAGUCAUAGCAAACUUUUAGUUCAUGCGUUAUUUACAAAAUAGGAUAUCAGAAAAAAAUAAUAAUUCAAAAGAUAUUAAUCAAAAGUCUAUUUUAACUACAAAUUUAUUGAGAGUGGUCUUUUUUAUAUAUUUUAUGUUGUGGCACCUACUGAUAUCUCUAUGUUUUUCAUUACAAGUAUGGUUUAUUGCGUGUUUUUUUAUCAUUCCACAAUGGUGUCUAAAACAAAGUAAAAAAUAUAAAACAAAUGAUUAUAUAUUAAUAAUGAUGAAUAAAAAACCUAAACAAUAUAAUUAUAUACUUACACAAUAUAUAACACUAAAAAAUCAUAUAUUUAAAAUGUUUAUGAUAAUGUUAAAUGUAUACAUUUAUAAAAUAAAAAUAUAUCCGCACGAACGUGCAGGUCAAAUUCUAGUUUUGGAUAAACGGCAGCUGUUUACGGUUUUAGCAUUACCGAUAUAACUGUUAAGAUUAGGAAUCCGAUCUUAGUAGAUAAAAAGGUUUUUAUAAAGGUAAAAAAAAUAUCAGAUUUCUUAAGCUGUAAAGAUACAAAUCUAAGAAAUUGUAAAAUAUUCAUUCAUACAAUCAAUAUAUGUACAAACCAUAAACCAAAUAUUUAGCAACUGAGUUUCUCUCUAGUUCUUUUGAUUUCGACGAGAUUGUUUUACCUUUGUUCUCAACAUUUUACUAGCCUUAACAUUUUUCUUUAGCUUUGUAGUUGAAAAGUUUAAAAGACAUAUGUUGAUAUUGAAUGACUCUUUCAUUACACUCCCCUUAAAAUUUAAAAUUCAAAUAGCAUUAUUCAAACAAUCACCUUACAAUUACAUAAAGUUUUCUUUUUAACUUAGAUCAAUAACAAAAAAUAAAUCCUUCUUAAUCCAUGUUUCCCCAAUCGUAAAACAUCAGAAGAACCUAGAUCUUGAGAUCUCACCAUUUUUCACUGUAUCAAAAGAAACACAAAGAGAUCAAGCCAAGAGAGAAGUCUUUUUCUGUGGAGCAGGACACUUGAAGUCACGAGGUGGAGUCUUGCCACAGUCGACGAGAAGCUCAAGAGCAAUGGGAAUAAUGAGGUCGAUGUUGAGAAGCUUCGCUCUAAUGGUGGUGCAAAGACAGACCGCUGCGUCAAGACCCACUAAACCGCCAAGAACUGGGCAACAAGUUGCCUUUGCAUAGCUUUUUCCUAGUCCGAUGUGAAUCAAGCCGCCAAGCACGUCCACACACGCGCCUAGCUUCAGUGCGUCGAUGGAGCACGUCUCCGGUUCAGGCGUUGGUGCCGGAGGUGGAGGAGGACACGGAGUUGGUGGAGGAGGCGGUGGCGGACAUGGCGUCUCUGGGGUUGGAGUUGGCGGUGGUGGCGGGGUUACGACUGGUGGGGUUGGAGUUGGCGGUGGAGGAGAAGGCGUAGGAGAUGGAGUGUACGGAGGUGGUGGCUUGACGGUGGGCGGUUUUGGAGUGUAAGGUGGAGGGGAUGGAGUGUACGGAGCUGGAGGCUUGACGGUGGGCGGCUUUGGGGUGUGAUGAGGUGGCUUGACGGUGGGUGGUUUGGGAGUGUGAGGAGGUAGUUUUGGGGUGUGAUGAGGUGGCUUAACGGUGGGUGGUUUUGGAGUGUGAUGAGGUGGUUUUGGAGUGUGAUGAGGUGGUUUGACGGCGGGUGGUUUUGGAGUGUGUUGUGGUGGCUUGACAGUGGGUGGUUUAGGCGGUUUAAUGGGAUGUUUGGGAGGUUUAACGGGGUGUGGAGAUGAUUUUGGAGGGUCACUGCAGUCACAAGCGUAAGAGACGGCGCAGAAACCAAGGAGGAGAAGUAUCAAAAAGGAGAG
rnacentral:lncRNA from 1 species